UUAUUUCAUUUUGACAAGCCGUCAAUAAUUUCUGUUUUAAAGAUAACAUUAAGAAAUGGUUGGUAUGCAGCGAUCGAGAUAAUCGCUUAAGCAAGCCGUCUAUCCUCUGAAAAAUAUCAGGCUGUUACAAUCAUGAAAAAAUGUCUUCUUGCACAUCUGGCAUUGCCAUCGACUCCGUUCGUAUGGAUCGACGAUGGAAGUAUCUUGCAUACCUACAAAUCCUUUUUUACAACGAGGGCAUAGCACACUACUCAAAUGUGAUUGCAAUUCGUACGGGUCUGCACAUAGAGAGCAUUCGCAUUCGAAAUACUUUCCUUCCCGAAGUGACGUGAGUGUUGCCUCUACAGUCAUGAGCCAUCAAAGUCACCUCGAUGUAUAAACCUCGCAGAAGAAAACCGUCAAGAGCGCCAGGUGAUCGCAAUUCAAAGGCAUUCACAUCCAAAAUUCCGCACAAUUUCUGCAUUAAUUCUGCGCUUGGCGGCUCAAUCUCAGCGGGUAUACGAAGCCUUCGGAUUACCUAUACCACAUACAUAUACAGAAUGGGACAACUAAAGACCUUGAAUGCUUUUGAAUGUAUGAGGAAACUUGUUAGGUAAAUAAUCUAAAAAUAUUUAUAUAGAGUCCCUGUAUCAGUCAA